UACGAAGGGGGCAAGCGUUGCUCGGAAUGACUGGGCGUAAAGGGUGCGUAGGCGGGUCUUUAAGUCAGGGGUGAAAUCCUGGAGCUCAACUCCAGAACUGCCUUUGAUACUGAAGAUCUUGAGUUCGGGAGAGGUGAGUGGAACUGCGAGUGUAGAGGUGAAAUUCGUAGAUAUUCGCAAGAACACCAGUGGCGAAGGCGGCUCACUGGCCCGAUACUGACGCUGAGGCACGAAAGCGUGGGGAGCAAACAGG
rnacentral:rRNA from 1 species